rnacentral:rRNA from 1 species
GGGAGUUCGCUCUAUAACCCUUUGUGACAUACCUAUAACUGUUGCUUCGGCGGGUAGGGUCUCCGCGACCCUCCCGGCCUCCCGCCUCCGGGCGGGUCGGCGCCCGCCGGAGGAUAACCAAACUCUGAUUUAACGACGUUUCUUCUGAGUGGUACAAGCAAAUAAUCAAAACUUUUAACAACGGAUCUCUUGGUUCUGGCAUCGAUGAAGAACGCAGCGAAAUGCGAUAAGUAAUGUGAAUUGCAGAAUUCAGUGAAUCAUCGAAUCUUUGAACGCACAUUGCGCCCGCCAGCAUUCUGGCGGGCAUGCCUGUUCGAGCGUCAUUUCAACCCUCAAGCUCUGCUUGGUGUUGGGGCCCUACAGCUGAUGUAGGCCCUCAAAGGUAGUGGCGGACCCUCCCGGAGCCUCCUUUGCGUAGUAACUUUACGUCUCGCACUGGGAUCCGGAGGGACUCUUGCCGUAAAACCCCCCAAUUUUCCAAAGGUUGACCUCGGAUCAGGUAGGAAUACCCGCUGAACUUAAGCAUAUCAAAAGCCGGAGGAACCCGCCG